CUGUUUCAUCUCACAUGGCUCAGGUCAAUGAUGUUUCCAGAACUUCAUCCAGACUGGCAAAAUAGCAAUUAAAAAUGAAUAAGCAUGGUGAUAUAUUGAAGCCAGCCCGAUUGUGUCACCUAUUGGGAACCAAGGUUAACUGGAGGAUCAAGAUGAAAUGUUUUUUCUUAAUAGGUCAACACAACAUGCUUUCAAGUUACAUAUUCUCAAUAGUUUUGAAACUGAUAUAGAGUGAUAUUAACAACAUGGCUAAGGUGUUCCUUAGAGACAAGGUUGGCAAAUCACAGAAAAAUAAUGAUUUGUGUUUUCUAGAAAACAAUUCUAGAAGUCGUAAACUACAACAAACCUUACUAAAACUCCCUUAUAUGUGUAUUUUUUAAAUAGACUUUAUAUUCUAACACAAUCAAAUAUAAUUUCUCUAUUGGUUUAUGUUUUCUGUUUAUAUUGUCAUUUUUUAAUAAAAUACGCAACUCUUAUGUUUUAUAAACUGUUUUCUUUUCUCGGUCAACUAAAGGAACAAAACUAAGCUAUGAUUAUGGUUCUAAAGGAACAAAACUAAGCUAUUGUUAUGGUUCUGGGCGUAAUGAAGAAUUUUUGGAGAUGGGUAUAUAUAUACAUAAAGGUAUUCUUAUAUUUUUAUAUAAGAAUGAAUCAGAGGGUAUUUUGAUAACUAGUAGUGAAACGAUAUAAUUUACAACAAAAUCUACAAAAAGUUUAACAUCUAAACAAAGAACAAUCCGUUUGACCAAAAACUGAACAAACAAUUAAUGAAAAACACAAAGGAGCGGCAACAGAGAAAGGAAAUUAAUGAAAAACACAAAGGAGCGGCAACAGAGAAAGGAAAAUAACGUCAAAACCCAAUUGGGGCUGCUACUUAUUAAAAAAAA